GCUUCUUGUAAUAUGAUGGACCAUUUAAUUGAAUGAUACUUCAUUGUUAUUAGCACUUGUAAUUGGUAUAUAUAAAGAUAAGGUUAACACUCAUAUUUAAACUUUGAGUUGCAUCACUGCUUUUCAUGCCACCUCCUAAAUAGAAAUUAAUCUAUUUCAGUAUGCCUCACCGCUUGGAACCCUACUGAUGGUUGGAAAGAAACCAUUCUACUAUCAAUAGGUGGAUUAGUAUGGUCUCAACAUCAGUGAGAUUGUUUCAUAAGAUUUAACUCCUAUAUGCAAUCGGUCUCAAGCAGAACAAAGAAAAGUUGCUUGAUGAUGGUAAAGAUGGGAGCCCAGUUUUACCGCCAUGUGCAUUUCAAGGACUUUUUGAAGCCUCACUGUGAUGUACCUGGAGACAGGCUAUGGCUAUAAACAGUUACAUAUCUGAAGUGUUACAUUUUUAAGGAAGGCACUAAAAAGAGCUUUCCUUGUGUCUAGAAAGAAUCUAGACAUAUAUACUGCAAUCAACAUACUUAUGUUACCAUAUACUUUUAAUUAUAGUGUGGUUUUAAUUAUUUAAGCAAAGUAUGAAGCAUAUCCUGUGGUUAUGAUAGGCAUACAUUUGUUGGGAAACCUGUUUUUAUUUUAAUAAGAGCAUCCUUCUCUGAUUUAGUUAAACAUCUCACUUUUAUUUCCACUUGAUUUGAGUUUUUCUCAUCGAAUAUAUUUUUGCCUUUCUAUAAUCACUCAGUAAUUCCAGUUUGCACAUCUUUUUUAAAAUUAUAGGAGUCAAGUUGUAAUUCUGAAGCUUUAACUCAGAAGUAACUAUAGUUGUUUGUAAAAUGUCAUUUGAUAAUGUGUACAUUAGUCAUUCAAGUAAAUUUUAUCUUAA
rnacentral:lncRNA from 1 species